rnacentral:rRNA from 1 species
CGAAGGUGGCAAGCGUUACUCGGAAUUACUAGGCGUAAAGGGCAGGUAGGCGGUUCGGUUAGUCUGUUGUGAAAGCUCCUUGCUUAACGGGGAGAGGCCAACAGAUACUGCCCGGACUUGAGUAUAGGAGAGGGUACUGGAAUUCCCGGUGUAGCGGUGAAAUGCGCAGAGAUCGGGAGGAACACCAAUGGCGAAAGCAGGUACCUGGACUAUUACUGACGCUCAGCUGCGAAAGCUAGGGGAGCAAACAGGAUUAGAUACCCUGGUAGUCCUAGCCGUAAACGAUGCACAUUGGGCGUGAGGGGUAUCGACCCCCUUCGUGCCGAAGCAAACGCAUUAAAUGUGCCGCCUGGGGGAGUACGGCCGCAAGGUUG